CAGUAGCCGCGGUAAUACGAAGGGUGCAAGCGUUAAUCGGAAUUACUGGGCGUAAAGCGUGCGUAGGCGGUUUGUUAAGUCUGUUGUGAAAUCCCCGGGCUCAACCUGGGAAUGGCAAUGGAUACUGGCAAGCUGGAGUGUGUCAGAGGAUGGUGGAAUUCCCGGUGUAGCGGUGAAAUGCGUAGAGAUCGGGAGGAACAUCAGUGGCGAAGGCGGCCAUCUGGGACAACACUGACGCUGAGGCACGAAAGCGUGGGGAGCAAACAGGAUUAGAUACCCCCGUAGUCCCUGUCUCUUAUAA
rnacentral:rRNA from 1 species